GCCUUCGUGGUGUAGUGGUCAGCACGCUGGAUACGUAUUCAAGAGGCCCGUGGUUCGAGUCCCGACGAAGGCA
rfam:Stegodyphus mimosarum contig86476, whole genome shotgun sequence.